rnacentral:rRNA from 1 species
CGGCGUGCCUAAUACAUGCAAGUCGAACGAAGCUUUCUUUCACCGAAUGCUUGCAUUCACCGAAAGAAGCUUAGUGGCGAACGGGUGAGUAACACGUAGGCAACCUGCCCAAAAGAGGGGGAUAACACUUGGAAACAGGUGCUAAUACCGCAUAACCAUGAACACCGCAUGAUGUUCAUGUAAAAGACGGCUUUUGCUGUCACUUUUGGAUGGGCCUGCGGCGUAUUAACUUGUUGGUGGGGUAACGGCCUACCAAGGUGAUGAUACGUAGCCGAACUGAGAGGUUGAUCGGCCACAUUGGGACUGAGACACGGCCCAAACUCCUACGGGAGGCAGCAGUAGGGAAUCUUCCACAAUGGACGAAAGUCUGAUGGAGCAACGCCGCGUGAAUGAAGAAGGCCUUCGGGUCGUAAAAUUCUGUUGUCAGAGAAGAACGUGCGUGAGAGUAACUGUUCACGUAUUGACGGUAUCUGACCAGAAAGCCACGGCUAACUACGUGCCAGCAGCCGCGGUAAUACGUAGGUGGCGAGCGUUGUCCGGAUUUAUUGGGCGUAAAGGGAACGCAGGCGGUCUUUUAAGUCUGAUGUGAAAGCCUUCGGCUUAACCGAAGUAGUGCAUUGGAAACUGGAAGACUUGAGUGCAGAAGAGGAGAGUGGAACUCCAUGUGUAGCGGUGAAAUGCGUAGAUAUAUGGAAGAACACCAGUGGCGAAAGCGGCUCUCUGGUCUGUAACUGACGCUGAGGUUCGAAAGCGUGGGUAGCAAACAGGAUUAGAUACCCUGGUAGUCCACGCCGUAAACGAUGAGUGCUAAGUGUUGGAGGGUUUCCGCCCUUCAGUGCUGCAGCUAACGCAUUAAGCACUCCGCCUGGGGAGUACGGUCGCAAGACUGAAACUCAAAGGAAUUGACGG